AUUGAACGCUGGCGGCAUGCCUUACACAUGCAAGUCGAACGGUAACACGGUUUCGGCCGCUGCCUACGGGCGGACGGGGGAGUAAUGGAGCGGAACGUGCCCAGUCCUAGUUGUUCGCUGCUGAUAAGGGCAGCUAAUACCGCAUAAUACCGGAGAGGGAAAACGGGGGAAAGUAAGGCCUCGCGGGAUUUUACGCGCCGAUGUCAGAUUAGCUAGGUGGUGGGGUAAAGGCCCACCAAGGCAACGAUCCGUAGUUGGUCUGAGAGGAUGAGCAGCCACACUGGGACUGAGACACGGUCCAGACUCCUACGGGAGGCAGCAGUGGGGAAUUUUGGACAAUGGGCGCAAGCCUGAUCCAGCAAUGCCGCGUGGAGGAAGAAGGCCUUCGGGUUGUAAAGUGCUUUUGUUAGGGAAGAAAACCAGUGGGUUAAUACCCCGGGAGGAUGACGGUACCUGAAGAAUAAGCACCGGCUAACUACGUG
rnacentral:rRNA from 1 species